rnacentral:rRNA from 1 species
GACGAACGCUGGCGGCGUGCCUAAUACAUGCAAGUCGAACGGGGUUGCACGGCGGAAGCCUUCGGGUGGAAGCUGUGGAACCUAGUGGCGGACGGGUGAGUAACGCGUGGGCAACCUGCCCUCCAGCCCGGGAUAACUUCCGGAAACGGGAGCUAAUCCCGGAUGCGGAGCAAAGGACGCAUGUUUUUUGCUCGAAAGCUUCGGCGCUGGAGGAUGGGCCCGCGUCCCAUUAGCUAGUUGGUGAGGUAACGGCUCACCAAGGCGACGAUGGGUAGCCGGCCUGAGAGGGUGAACGGCCACACUGGGACUGAGACACGGCCCAGACUCCUACGGGAGGCAGCAGUAGGGAAUCUUGCGCAAUGGGCGAAAGCCUGACGCAGCGACGCCGCGUGAGGGAAGAAGGCCUUCGGGUCGUAAACCUCUGUCCUUGGGACGAUGAUGACGGUACCAAGGAGGAAGCCCGGCUAACUACGUG